rnacentral:rRNA from 1 species
AGCUUAAAGUAUAUAAUUAAUUUUAGGUUACUCCUGCCCAGUGAUAAAAUUUAACGGCCGCAGUACUUUGACUGUGCAAAGGUAGCAUAAUAAUUUGUCCUUUAAUUGAGGUCUAGAAUGAAAGGGGCUACGGGAAGAAGCUGUCUUUUUUAGGUUUAUUUUAACUUUCUUAGGGGGUGAAAAUUCCCUCUAAUAGAUAAAAGACGAGAAGACCCUUAGAAUUUUAAUUAUAUCUGGUUAACUAAUACUAGAUCUUUUUCGUUGGGGCGACGUGAUAUCAAUUUUAACAUAUCUUUUCAGUCUUUGUGAAUCAAAUUAAUUAAUCUAAAUUAAAUUACCUGAGGGAUAACAGCAUAAUUUUUUAUAAAGAUUGUGACCUCGAUGUUGGACUAGGACCUUAUAGGUUAACCACCUUAGUUGGAAUGUUCUGUUCGAACUCCACCCUCCU